rnacentral:piRNA from 1 species
UUCAACAAAAAGUUGUGGACC